rnacentral:rRNA from 1 species
CAGCAGCCACGGUAAUACGUAGGUGGCAAGCGUUAUCCGGAAUUAUUGGGCGUAAAGCGCGCGUAGGCGGUUUCUUAAGUCUGAUGUGAAAGCCCACGGCUCAACCGUGGAGGGUCAUUGGAAACUGGGAAACUUGAGUGCAGAAGAGGAAAGUGGAAUUCCAUGUGUAGCGGUGAAAUGCGCAGAGAUAUGGAGGAACACCAGUGGCGAAGGCGACUUUCUGGUCUGUAACUGACGCUGAUGUGCGAAAGCGUGGGGAUCAAACAGGAUUAGAUACCCCAGUAGUCCCUGUCUCUUAUAC